UAUUCUCUGCACAAAAAAAUCUCUCUCAGGAUAGACCUUGUUUGGAGACACCAAUGAGACAGUACAAAGACUGAAAAGGAAUGGAAUGUAUUUUUCAAAAGUGAUAAAUCCUUGAGAGAAGACACAAUAGAAACAGUAAAGGGCCCUGGACUCAAACUCCCUCUGUGCAAGUCCUGGCUGUGUUUCUUGCUACCGGCGUAAUGUGCUAUUUAAGCAGCAGUGCAUGUCUCCUCACAUUUGAAAAUAUUGAUUGGGUCUUGAAGACAGAAUAACAAGCGCCAGAACUCAAGCAUUUUGCCAGGAGUGGUGCUGCCUCAUCAGUACUUCAGAUCCAGGCAGGGAAACUGUCAGCAGAACUGCUCCAAAGUCUGCUUUGUGAAAUGCACAUAAGCGGUCUCCCAGACCCACUUUCCAUCCUUCUCCUUUCUGAGGAGGAGGUGGUUAGAAAAAAAAGAAGAAGACAACAAAAGAGUAGAUGAGAGAGAUGUGGCAAAAGAAGAGGCAGAAGAGAAGAGGCAAGAGAAGGAUUCUCCCACCCAUUGCUGUCUUUAGAGAUGCAGGCUAUGAGCCAAAAAGCACAGAUAGCUCCGGAAGCUGAGGACAAGCCACACUGCCCACACUCCCGCAACUGCCCAGAACUGAAUUUUGCCAAUUACCUGCAUAAAUCAGAAAAUGGAUGCUCACUAGAGUCUCCAGAAGGGAGCCUGGCUUGCUGACACCUAGAUUUUUGUCUUGUGAGACUGAUCAGAGGAAUUAUCCCAGCACACUUGACUUCUGAAAUUGUGAUAUAUCUAUGCCUGCAGAAACCCAUGACAUGCAGAAACUAUGAGUUAAUAAAUGAAUGUUGUUUUAAG
rnacentral:lncRNA from 1 species